AAGCCAAUCUCCUGCAGUGCCUUGGUAAAAUGCAGAUUCAGCUUCAGCAGAUGGGGCCCAAGAUUCUGCAUUUCUAACAGGCUCUGGUGUGAUUCAGAU
rnacentral:pre_miRNA from 1 species